rnacentral:rRNA from 1 species
CGGUUAAUUCCGAUAACGAACGAGACCUUAACCCGCCUAAAUAGCCNGGCCGGCUUUCGCUGGUCGCCGGCUUCUUAGAGGGACUGUCAGCGUCUAGCUGACGGAAGUUUGAGGCAAUAACAGGUCUGUGAUGCCCUUAGAUGUUCUGGGCCGCACGCGCGCUACACUGACAGAGCCAGCGAGUUUUUCACCUUAGCCGGAAGGUCUGGGUAAUCUUGUGAAACUCUGUCGUGCUGGGGAUAGGGCAUUGCAAUC